AUUGAACGCUGGCGGCAUGCUUUACACAUGCAAGUCGAACGGUAACAGGCCGCAAGGUGCUGACGAGUGGCGGACGGGUGAGUAAUGCAUCGGAACGUGCCCAGUCGUGGGGGAUAACGCAGCGAAAGCUGCGCUAAUACCGCAUACGAUCUAUGGAUGAAAGCGGGGGACCGUAAGGCCUCGCGCGAUUGGAGCGGCCGAUGUCAGAUUAGGUAGUUGGUGGGGUAAAGGCCCACCAAGCCAAGGAUCUGUAGCUGGGCUGAGAGGACGACCAGCCACACUGGGACUAGGACACGGCCCAGACUCCUACGGGAGGCAGCAGUGGGGAAUUUUGGACAAUGGGCGCAAGCCUGAUCCAGCAAUGCCGCGUGCAGGAAGAAGGCCUUCGGGUUGUAAACUGCUUUUGUACGGAACGAAACGGUUCUCUCUAAUACAGGGGGCUAAUGACGGUACCGUAAGAAUAAGCACCGGCUAACUACGUGCCAGCCGCCGCGGUAACAC
rnacentral:rRNA from 1 species